UUUAGACUCCUACUUCUGCAAUUGUAGUAAAGAUCUGAGAUUCACUAAUACAAGUUUCUCAAAAAUCUGUAAAGAAAACUUUUUAGCUCUAGUGCACGAAAUGAUUUUCAGGUACAGUACCACCUGUAUGUCAAUGACAAGAACUUUUUCCAUCUUCUAAUGUAAACCAACGUGACUGAAUUGUUUUUACUGAAGCUUUCAGUAAAAGACCUGAUUCCUUGUCCAGAUCUAGAGGCUCACUAAUCUCUGGUUAUCAGAAUGCAGUAGGUAGUUUUCCAUCUUUGGAAGAUAGAAAGAAAAUAGGCCAGUUAAAAGUGUAUGUGUUACAAUUUUAAUUGUGUUUUAUAGAAGUAAUUCUUUUGGAGUGAUGCUUAGCCGCCAUUUGUUUCCAUCUUAAAUCUACAGCUUCAAACUGCUCUAUUAGGGUAACACUGAAUCUGAAGUGUCUGCAGUCAUUCAAAGGUGAAAUUUGUUGAUACUGCUGUUGUCUUGUUCUACCAGGAUGUGCAUCUGUAUAUUUGCAGUGUGCUUUUGCAGCUUUCUCUUUCUUUGUUCUGCAGUUGCAACUAGUAUCCAGACUCUACGUGUGCACCCUGCAUUACAGAUUGUACUUCUAUUACCCUGCGGAGCAGUUUUGCACAGUUAAUGAACUGAUGCCUGGGGAGCUGUGCAUACGUGUGGAAUGUGGACCCUAUCUCGCUAUCCCAAACCUGCAUUGUCCUGUCCUGCAGCUUCUCAGGGUUCUGCUAAUACAGAAGGCUGGCAUUUCUGUGCUGCAGCAUUGUAUGAUGAUCAUAAAUACCUCAUCAUAGUUCGAGGUGUGAAAACAAGCUUGACUAUCACCUUGACUUCUGGGCUGUUAUUAUUUUGUAUUCUGGAACAGGAGCAGGGAUUAAGGAUUAAAGGAGUGAAAAUUUUUAUAGGGAGAAGGAAUUGGCAGAUGAACAGUAACAACAGAUCGGUUUGUAUAUUCAUAUUAAUCGUACGUAUUGUCACAUCUAUACUAUCAAAGAUCUUUGUAUGUUAGCGAGAAAGCAGAUUUUGCUCAUCACUUACUCUGAUCACUUUAAAUAUUUAGUUAAAACUUUCAAACUUGAAUUACUUUUAUCUUUGCCAUCAGUUUGUUUCUCUCUACUAAAUGAUAGUAUUUAGAUAGGAUUUACAUGUUGGAAUCAGUAAGAGCAAACUUUGCAGUAUUUUUGUACUUCUUGCUCUAAAUUUAUAACAUUGACUUUCAAUAAUCUGAUAAUAGUAAUGACCUUUAGUUUGGCAUCCUACAAAACUAAAUUCAAUACUUAUAAUAUUACAGUUGUUUUAAUUUGUCCCCGUCCCUCCCUCUCCCCUAACUUGUUUCCUACAAAAUGUAGAGUGUAGUAUAUCCCUUAAAAUUUAAAAUGCUUUCUCAUCUUGCUGUGGAAUUGCAUCAAGAAUUUGUGCUUAUUAAAUUCUACCAGGAGAGGGCAGUAUUGCAUUAUAGUAGAUGUGUGCUGACAACUAGAAGAGGCAGUUAAAGAAAGCUUAUAUAAUGAAACGUUUCUGUGCUAACUUGCUUAGAUAUAUAGCUGGAAGAUACGUAAUCAUUCUAAGUGAUUACUUUUAUGGUUUUCUAAAUAUUUGUCUGAGAUGACUGUUUCAGAAGCUUAAUAUAAUAAAUUUCUUU
ensembl:lncRNA